GAUGAGCGCUGACAGAAUGCUUAACACAUGCAAGUCGACUGGAAUUUAUCUUCGGGUAAUAGUACAGUGGCGGACGGGUGAGUAACGCGUAAAGAAUUUGCCCUUCAGACUGGGACAACUAACCGAAAGGUUAGCUAAUACCGGAUAUUAUGAGACCUUGGCAUCAAGGACUUAUGAAAGCUAUAUGCGCUGGAGGAGAACUUUGCGUCCCAUUAGGUAGUUGGUAGGGUAAUGGCCUACCAAGCCGACGAUGGGUAGCCGGCCUGAGAGGGUGAACGGCCACAAGGGGACUGAGACACGGCCCUUACUCCUACGGGAGGCAGCAGUGGGGAAUAUUGGACAAUGGACCAAAAGUCUGAUCCAGCAAUUCUGUGUGCACGAUGAAGGUCUUCGGAUUGUAAAGUGCUUUCAGGUGGGAAGAAGCAAGUGACGGUACCACCAGAAGAAGCGACGGCUAAAUACGUGCCAGCAGCCGCUGUAAC
rnacentral:rRNA from 1 species